AUGUAAUAUGCAAUAUAUCCAGUUGGGGUUGCGUGUAAUUGUGAGGGCACAACACUGGGGGUGUGUAUGGGAGAUUACAGAAGUUUGCAUCAAGGGAGCAGAUCAUGGGCGAAGGGUGUCGCUGUCGAAUUUCUAUGGGGAAGAAAAAAAUAGAAAAAAUUCUCCAGAGGGAGUCCCUCGGUCCCUUUUCGUGGGCGAAAUGUGUUGCGUGACUCACGAGCGCACCCUGUGCUUGCAGUAAGGGGGGAGGAAGAGGAGGGUAUAAAGAAAAGACUGCUGAUGCGUUAAAUAGUCCCGGUCACUGAUGGCAAGUCUCAUGAUUCUCACCGCUGUAUACAAAUACAUGUUCACUCCGCCGUGUCGUUUGCCAUUAUUUUUCCAACCCCUCCGGCCGUUUUCCUAUAAUAUGGAACCCAACAAUAUAUUAUGAAAAGGAGAAAUGGUCUUUCUAUAUUACAUAUUGCGUAGUAGUAUAAGAUGUGUAGAUUUUAUAUCCUCAAAACUGAAAUUGUCUCAGCUGUUUAGUUUCCCCAAUUUUUCGAUCGGCACUUCGCUACCCCCUUUGGGAAAUGAAAUGCUGAUUAGACAUAUAAAUAAAAGUAUAGUUGGACGUGAUGUGGUUUUUCAAAUGAUGAAAACGUUUCAUUAGUCAGGCUCCAUAUAUCCAGCAGCAGCCCAGUCUCAUAUAUAGUUUCAAUGUGCCGUGGUGGUGGUGAUGAUGACCAUCUGGUUGUUUCUUGCGGUGUCGGAUGAGGGUUGCGAUUGGUUUCGCUCCGAUUAAGGGAAAACGAACCCAAAAAAAAGGAGGAAAAUGUUAAGGGGGGCAGCUCCCACUUUAGAUAAUAUCCAUCCAUCCCCUCUUAUUCUUGAUAUUAUAUGUACCUACGUAUAUAUAUCGGUCGGAUGAUGAAUGAACGCCGAUCAUCGGAUACGGCACCGAAAUGACGAGGGAAAUAUCUUGACAAGUUGCGCCUUGAUAAAUGAUCGGAUCAAAGAACAUCCAGGCCAUAGAGAAAAAAAAGACGAUCCAUCAAUGCGAAUGCGGAAGAGACCGCGCUGUGUCCAUUGCGCAGGAAAUGAAUGAUUUUAUGUACAAGGCCUAUAUAUUGAUACAGCUGUGUGGCCGCCAAUGUUAACUCUACACAUUUAUAGACAGAUUCAAAUUAACACUAUAUCCGACAUCAUCUACUUGUAACCAUUGCGAGGGGAUUUAGUGUUUAUAUGCGCCAUUUAAAAAAGAAAAAAGUCGCAAUGUAGACAGGAGAUAUGCGGUCCCGCCGGUCCCCCAUCACCCCGGACGCGGUAAAUGGAAUCUCGGAUGGAUGUAAUCCGUCGUGUAUAAUUCCAUCGCGGCGCAAAGCACACAGCCAUUUUGAUUGACGGGCGCUCUGCUGCGAGCUUUGGAUUUCUCAAAUUAUAUAUCUCGAGAGAAACGCGCAACACAUCACGGAAUUUGAUUGACUUUCCAUUUUGAAAAUAAAAUAGACGGAGAGUAUAGCGCGCUAGCUGGCUGGAUGGCUGGUAUAGAUGGUAGCAGCAGCACUCAAAUCAUCAAGCGACCAAGUGGAAUCAAGUGGAGGAUGACGCCCCCCCCCCCUGAUGCGUGACACACACCAAAUACCAUCCAGAGUUCAAAGCAGCUGAAAAUGCCAUCGCCAACAUAUCCAAUCCGAUUAUACACGAAAGCGAGUUGAUCUAAUCCUGUACACCAGACGAGCUGCUGCCGCUGUUCGCAACGUCACAUGUAAACCAUUCGGAGAUGUAGAUAUAAAUGUGGCCCUAGAGGUAUCUCUCUCUCCGAUUUUUACCGGUAUAAAUACACAGGGCGGGGGAAGGGAGGCUUUAUUGCAAUUCGCGCGGGAUCGACCCUCGGCCACGUCAUAGCAGAGGGUGGCGUUCGGAUGUUAGUAAAUAGUUCACCCUCUUCAUGAAUUGAUCUCGAGGAGUGAUCCCUUUCUCUUCUUUUUUUUUUCUCUGCUCUUUUCGGUGUGUUGCAUAUGUAUAGAUGACAGUCUGUACAUGGUAUAGGAGCAGAGUUAUAUUGUAUAGGAACUGGGACGUUGACUAUCAAAAACCCUGAUGCGUGAUUGCCUCCACUCUCUCUCUCCCUUUUUCUUCUCUACGACUGUCGUAUAGACAUAAAUGUAUAUUCUUGUGUUAUAGGGGUGCAGGGUGGGCUGCCAUUGGGUGAAUGGUGUAUAGGGGGAACGUUCUCAUUUAUUGAUGAAGAAUUUAAAAGAUCGGCGUGACUCAGCCCGCGGCUGCGGUUUGAUCCAUUUUCUAUAGACCCGGCGACUUCUCCCCCACAAAAUUAAACCAGGGGAGGAAAAAAAAAAUAGCAAGAGGAAAUACUUUUUUGUUAUUAGAGGGGAAAAAUUUAAGGGAGUAAUGUAUUACAAUUGAUGAUGAUAUGCACUCUAAGAGAUGAUGGAAAAAUGGAAAAAAAGGCUAAACAAUAAGUUGGGAUUUAUAUUGAUCAAUCAAUCAAAAUCACAUCCCAAAUCUUUACUGUUGUUGGGAAGGAAGAAUUUUGUGGUUUUUUUGAAAUAUAAUACUUUAAUCUACACCAUCUAGUGCUACAUUCAUAUUUUGGUUACUUUGGUCGAACUCAUUUGAGCCUCAACGCCAUUAAGUGUGACAUUUACGUUUUUUAAUGCUGUGCUGUCAUUUCAUCAUAUAUGAAAUUUUAAAAUUAAAUCAUAUUAAAUCAAUUUGAUUAAUUCAUUAAAACUUCAGAAAAUUGGCAGCACUGCGCCACCGCAUCCAGUUCUCACGGAAAUUCGUCUGCUAAAGUAGGCAAUUCUCACGUGUCACGUCGGUAUUUCUGGAGGGUCACGUACGUACUUGUGCUAUCUUCGGUUGUCCCGCCCUCCUACAGCUACAGGUUGUUACGUGUUGAAACGAAAGAAGGCAAGUCAGGGAAAUGUAUGAAACAGCCCAGGGUUUCAAUAUCUGUGCAAGAAGUGAGAAAUGGUUUGUUGUGUUUAAUGAUGAUAAGAAGCUUGUGUUACAUGUGUCUUUAUCGGCCAAUGUUACCCCAUCACUUAGCUUAAAAGGCGAUAGCAAGUCUAACUAUCCUCUCUCUCUUUAGAUACUAUGUGUAACUGGUGAAAUCAGCAAGAAUCCAGAAACGAAGAAAGAGUACCUGAUAAAGUCAACCCACUUUCAUUCUACAUGGAUCCUAGUUAAAAAUUGGGCAACAAAAUAUUGCUGCUGAAGUAAAAUGCUACCCAGCAAAUGAGAAGAUCGUCGACGUUGGUGACGAAACGUAUGUGAGGGAUCGUUGACAGGCAGCCCAGUAUUCGCCCACGUGUUCCAGGUUCGACAGAGAGAAUGGUGGAGCAAUCUUCCGUGGCUUAUGUGCUACAACACGAGCAACGAGAUUAAACAGUUCCAGACCUACAAAUUUUGUUGUAAUAGUCGAUACAUCCGCGUCGUUACAGAAAGGUGGAGCAAUCUUCUGUAGCUUAUCUGCUACAGCACGAGCAACGAGAUUAAACAGUAAGACUUUCGCAACUCUUGAUUGUAUGUAUUCUUUUGUUUACUAAUAUUAGAUGUUCCAUUAAUUAUUGACUGAACUGUUCAAAUUAACUUUCUCUGUGUCCUGGGAUAAGUAUAAAUAUGUCCUAUAUACAAAAGGUUAGUAGGAUUGGGACUUAUGGAGAGGUUACUUAUCUUGGAUAAGUUAUCUAAGUUAACCAAAUUCCAUUUCCUUAUUAAUUCUGUUGAACUUAAAGGCAUUACAAAUUGCAGUAAGACAUUUUAGAUAGCCUACAUCAGAUUUGAAUGGGAACAAUUUUCAACAGGAAUAACUAACUACAUAUGCAAAAUUGAAAAAAAAUGGAAUAUCAAAAAGAAUGCGUUUUAGCGAUUUUGGUCCAACGCAGGUUUUGUUUACUACCGGCAAUGCUAGAUGGCGCUUGCGUAUCCUGAUGUUGUCAAACACAUCGUCAUGAUACCAAUGAAGUGAGAGAAUGCAGCCGUCAACGACACCGUCUUCAUUUACUUCCCUCGCAGGUUGCUGAUCGGUGAUACACAAUGAACAAGGAAGCUCUAUCUUGAUGGCAGCUCUUGACUCUGGAGUUUAACACAGCAUCUUGAUCAGACUCAAAUAGGAAAGCAACAAGUACAAUGACAACUCUCGGAGUUAGGAACAGCAUUUUGAGCAGUAGUACAAGAAAAAUUACCCAAUAAAGACUCAGGAAACUUUGGAUCACGACCGUCAUCGGCGAGAAUUUGGUUCAUUGCAAAACUCAUGUUUGUCGAAAAACUGACAGCGGGAAGAAAUUGGAUAAUUUGGUGAUGAAACUCAUGCCAUGGAUGACAGUUAUACGUGACACAGUUGACAAACGAGCUUGAGAUGCAUAAAAUAAUUCAAAAUUUGCGGGAAUUUGAAGAAUUAGGUAGGUGAAGGAGGUAUGAGAAAUCCAAAUGCGCCGUCAUUUUCAUGGUUCACGUCGAUCCGCGUCCAGCUAGUAUUCACCUAGUGCAGCUAACUCCCAAAAGCAAGCAGAGGUUAUUCUGCGCCGCUAUUCAAUGGAUUGAAUCCGUUGAACCUGACGAGAGAUGACAUCUCAGCGACGACGAACUGAUGUGCCGUCAUUCAGCAAUACUGCUCACUUGCGUGCUGUCCUUUCGUCGCUCCGAUUCAUCGAGGAGUUGAGCCUGGUCCAGCUACGCGGCCAGCUGCCAGAACAAUUGGAUUACCCAGCCGACUUGUAAGUUACUCUAGCUCUCAACACAGCACAGAGUUUUACUCUUUAGAUUAUGUUUGGCUGUUUGCCAUGUGUGAUGGCGUUUUCUUGUGUGGGACUACACUAAUCUUUCCCUAUCGAAACUGGCCUCACACUCCUCACUUCUUCCUUGUCCAGGUUAUCUCCCUGGACACAGUCAAUCAAGGCAGUGUCUCCCCUUUCUUGAUUGACUGAACUUUGUGAGGAAAAUUGAACAUUUCAUAUUGAUAAAAUUAAUUUAAUGGAGGUAAAAUAUAAAUAUUUAUGAUGAGGGAUGAUAAACAUAUGUAAAUAAUAGUGUCAAUAAGCUUGUAAAGUUAUAUUUUCUUCUUUAAAAUACAAUUUUGUAUAUAUA